CCUGGUCUUUAUUAAACUGUUGCAACAGGACUUCCAACUACUGCAUGGAAGAAGCGGAAAGAAGCCCCAACAAAGGAUGGCUCCCUUUUCUAUGUUUCCCCUUUUACCCAUAACACCCUUAGUGAAGCAUCAUACAGACAUCAUAUAUACAUCACAGCCAUGUCAUAAUCUGGGAGGGGUCUCCUGGCAGAAACAUGAGUAUCUGGUUUCCCCCCAUCCCUCCCUUGACCUCCACCUCAUACCCAUUAAGUAAAAGAAAAGGUAUGUACAUGUUCCUGUUCUCCUGGUCAAGUUAAUCAUACCCCUUUGUCUUGACCAAGAUCCUAACAAACUUAGGUUGGGUUUAUUAUUGUUUCUGGAAUGGCUACCUGUCUGGCACUCAGGGGCCAGGAUGCCCGCGGUUAUCACCUGGGCAAGGAGGCUGCUGAGUAUGGUCUCAGGCUUGGGGGAUUAUGGCUGCCCACAUCCCAGGCUCCCUCCUUGGUAGCCAUUCCUUUCCUGAACAGAACAAAGUUGGGACAGUGCAAAUACAAUACUGGAGCAAUUUUAUAUGACUUUCUAAAGUUUUCCCAUUGAGCCAGUAGAUAGAUACAUUUAUCAGUGAAUUGUUGCAUUCGUUAACGUGCAGUAGAGGCCCUUUGAAUAGAGAUAGGAAAAAAUUGUGUGAUGAAGUGUUUUGUGGGGACAUUUGCAGGAGUGAUUGUGUUGAGUUUGGUAGUCGGGGGGGGUGUAUGAUGUCUGCUGGAGGGGCAACCUCAAAAAUAAACUUUACAUAAAUUAACUGCUAUAAGAAAAAAACUGUUCCUUUUCCCUUAUGGGGUAUCCAAGAGCCCAUAUAGAGUCCUUUAUCGGGUUCCCUAUCAGUAGGAGAAAAUAACAGAGGCCAACCAGAGAAUACUGAGAAGCAACGCAGCUAGUAAGCUUGAUCUUUAUUAAACUGUUGCAACAGGGUCCCCCGCUCACCCCACGCAGGGAGGGAGAAGAACCUAGAACAAUGGUGUACAAGCUCUUAUCCAAGGAUCUGUAUUUGUUAACUAAUAGCCGUACCCCAGCCAAAUGUUGGUUCCCUCAGUGCUUAAGGCAGUAGUUAAAUCUGAGCUUGAUGUGCCUAUACACUCUAAAAAAACACCUGCCUUAGCUGACAAAUUAUAUGACUUGGAUCCUGAAUCAUGGAAUAUAUUAAGACUCCUACUAUAGACAGACCAGUUUUAAAUCUGUCAUUGUGACAUCUGGUCCCCAAGGAAGGAAAUGCUCAACUUCUGGACCCUACUGAUAGGAGAAUCGAAUUUGCCUUAUGCAAGACCCAUGAUGCAACGGCCCUCUCUAUGAGAGCUGCCUGCGUAGCAUCCUCACGCGCUCGAGCUUGAGGACUUGUUGCAAUCUCCUCCCCAAGAUCCAGCUCGACAGCACCAGAUUCUGACCAAACUCCUUAAAGCUCGAGCUUUUAUGGGAGACGCCUCCAUGGACCCCAUGCUGUUUGCAGCUGAAGCAAUGACAUCCUAGGUAGCUGCUAGGCGCACCCUGUGGCUAAAGCCCUGGGACGCUGAUGCUGCCUCUAAAGUAAACCUUUCCGCUGAACCUUUUUCAGGCGGUCAGCCGGAAUGGAGAAGCUACUGAGAGGGCCUGAAGCUCUGACAUCCACAGUCGGUGGGGCCAAAAAGAAGGGAGCAGAACCACCUCUGUCUUUUCCUGUCUGAUCUUGCGAAGGGCCGUGGAAGGAUGGAUUGAGGUGG